rnacentral:piRNA from 1 species
UCUUGUGACACCACAGGCAGCUGCAAU